rnacentral:rRNA from 1 species
AGUGAACGCUGGCGGUAGGCCUAACACAUGCAAGUCGAACGGCAGCACAGGAGAGCUUGCUCUCUGGGUGGCGAGUGGCGGACGGGUGAGGAAUACAUCGGAAUCUACUCUGUCGUGGGGGAUAACGUAGGGAAACUGACGCUAAUACCGCAUAAGACCUACGGGACAAAGCAGGGGAUCUUCGGACCUUGCGCGAUUGAAUGAGCCGAUGUCGGAUGAGCUAGGUGGCGGGGUAAAGGCCCACCAAGGCGACGAUCCGUAGCUGGUCUGAGAGGAUGAUCAGCCACACUGGAACUGAGACACGGUCCAGACUCCUACGGGAGGCAGCAGUGGGGAAUAUUGGACAGUGGGCGCAAGCCUGAUCCAGCCAUACCGCGUGGGUGAAGAAGGCCUUCGGGUUGUAAAGCCCUUUUGUUGGGAAAGAAAUCCAGCUGGCUAAUACCCGGUUGGGAUGACGGUACCCAAAGAAUAAGCACCGGCUAACUUCGUGCCAGCCGCCGCCGUAA